rnacentral:rRNA from 1 species
AUCACCUACGGGGGGCAGCAGUGGGGGAUAUUGCACAAUGGGGGGAACCCUGAUGCAGCGACGCCGCGUGGGUGAAGGAGUGCUUCGGCAUGUAAAGCCCUAUCGGCAGGGAAGAAGCAAGACGGUACCUGACUAAGAAGCCCCGGCUAACUACGGGCCAGCAGCCGCGGGAAUACGUAGGGGGCGAGCGUUAUCCGGAUUCACUGGGUGGAAAGGGAGCGUAGACGGCCAAGCAAGCCAGGGGUGAAAG